rnacentral:rRNA from 1 species
AUUGAACGCUGGCGGCAGGCCUAACACAUGCAAGUCGAACGGAGCGGCGGACGGGUGGGUGAUGCGUGGGUAUCUGCCUGGUAGUGGGGGAUAACGUCCGGGAACGGGCGCGAAUACCGCAUACAAUCAGAUGAGCCUAGGUCGGAUUAGCUAGUUGGUGGGGUAAAGGCCUACCAAGGCGACGAUCCGUAACUGGUCUGAGAGGAUGAUCAGUCACACUGGGACUGAGACACGGUCCAGACUCCUACGGGAGGCAGCAGUGGGGAAUAUUGGACAAUGGACGAAAGCCUGAUCCAGCCAUGCCGCGUGUGUGAAGAAGGUCUUCGGAUUGUAAAGCACUUUAAGUUGGGAGGCGUUACCUACAGAAUAAGCACCGGCUAACUUCGUGCCAGCCGCCGCGGUAAUAC